rnacentral:hammerhead_ribozyme from 1 species
GUUCAGCUGACGAGUCCCGAAUUGGACGAAACACGCGUCCUGGAU